GCGGAUGUAGUUCAGUGGUAGAAUGUCUCCUUCCCAAGGAGA
rnacentral:tRNA from 1 species